rnacentral:rRNA from 1 species
GAUGAACGCUAGCGGCAGGCUUAACACAUGCAAGUCGAGGGGCAGCACGUCUUCGGAUGGUGGCGACCGGCGCACGGGUGCGUAACGCGUAUACAAUCUACCUUUUACAGGGGCAUAGCCCGGGGAAACCCGGAUUAAUAUCCCAUGGUAUCAUUUAGUGGCAUCACUUGAAUGAUUAAAGUUUCGGCGGUAAAAGAUGAGUAUGCGUUCUAUUAGCUAGAUGGUAAGGUAACGGCUUACCAUGGCUACGAUAGAUAGGGGUCCUGAGAGGGAGAUCCCCCACACUGGUACUGAGACACGGACCAGACUCCUACGGGAGGCAGCAGUGAGGAAUAUUGGACAAUGGGCGAAGAGCCUGAUCCAGCCAUGCCGCGUGCAGGAAGACUGCCCUGUGGGUUGUAAACUGCUUUUAUACGGGAAGAAACACCUCCACGUGUGGAGGCUUGACGGUACCGUAUGAAUAAGGAUCGGCUAACUCCGUGCCAGCAGCCGCGGU